rnacentral:rRNA from 2 species
GCGCGAAACCUCUGCAAUAAGCGAAAGCUUGACAGGGUUACUCUGAGUGAUUUCCGCUAAGGAAGUCUUUUGGCACCUCUAAAAAUGGUGCAGAAUAAGGGGUGGGCAAGUCUGGUGUCAGCCGCCGCGGUAAUACCAGCACCCCGAGUGGUCGGGACGAUUAUUGGGCCUAAAGCAUCCGUAGCCGGUCCUGCAAGUCCUCCGUUAAAUCCACCCGCUCAACGGUUGGGCCGCGGGGGAUACUACAGGGCUAGGAGGCGGGAGAGGCAAGCGGUACUCGAUGGGUAGGGGUAAAAUCCACUGAUCCAUUGAAGACCACCAGUGGCGAAGGCGGCUUGCCAGAACGCGCUCGACGGUGAGGGAUGAAAGCUGGGGGAGCAAACCGG